GCAAUACAUAUAAGAACAAGAUGGAGGAAUUUGAAGGGAGACGAAAAUUGCUAUUUCCUUACGGCAAGUAACCAUAUCUGGAGAUGAUCAUGAAUGAUUUUCUCUGCUCCCACAGUCUUUUUGAUAGCUGUAGUUGCUGGCAAGUAACCAUAUCUUGAGAUGAUUAUGAAUGAUUUACUCUGCUCCCCCAGUCUUUUUGAUAGCUGUAGUUGCUGGAGACUCCACUUCAGUGAGCAACAUUCAAGAGGCACAUGUGAAAUAUUACAGAUAAGCCAAAGUAAUAGAGUAAAAACAUUAUUAUGUACAACACAUAUAGCACUAAUUUUAAAUUUUGAUGAAAUCGUUUUGCUUCCUUAUCGUACGAUGACCUAUGAUGUCAACUCAUCUUUGUUAUCUAGGUCACUAUGGGUACUAGUUUCCUGACAUAUGCACCUUCAAAAUCAUAGAAAAGAAAUUUGUUCAUAAUUCAAAAAACUUACAAAUAGGGCACGGCUAACUGACAGGUCAGAAAACUGGAGAACUCAGAAAAACUUUAAGAUCACGGCAGAGACCUAACCAAAACCACCUAUGGAUGAUGACCUCAGAGGUGACACAUGAAUCSAUUUGUAUAGGACUCCACAGCUGAUUGCAAUAAAUUAUGGCCAUGGUUUAUCAUGAAAGACUGAAAUAUUUAAUACAAGAAUACUGCUAGACUACUUUACAGUCAGAUAUCUGAGAACCAUUUAUAGCUAACUUUCUCAAAGAUAUU